rnacentral:rRNA from 1 species
GCCCAAGAGUUCAUAUCGACGGCGGAGUUUGGCACCUCGAUGUCGGCUCAUCACAUCCUGGGGCUGUAGCCGGUCCCAAGGGUAUGGCUGUUCGCCAUUUAAAGUGGUACGUGAGCUGGGUUUAAAACGUCGUGAGACAGUUUGGUCCCUAUCUGCAGUGGGCGUUGGAAGUUUGAGGGGGGCUGCUCCUAGUACGAGAGGACCGGAGUGGACGCAUCUCUGGUGUACCGGUUGUGACGCCAGUCGCAUCGCCGGGUAGCUAUAUGCGGAAAAGAUAAGCGCUGAAAGCAUCUAAGCGCGAAACUUGCCUCAAGAUGAGACUUCCCAGGGAACUUGAUUCCCCUGAAGGGUCGUUCGAGACCAGGACGUUGAUAGGUCGGGUGUGGAAGCGCAGUAAUGCGUUAAGCUAACCGAUACUAAUUGCCCGUGCGGCUUGAUCCUAUAAGUC